rnacentral:rRNA from 1 species
UACAGAGGGUGCAAGCGUUGUUCGGAAUUACUGGGCGUAAAGCGCGUGUAGGCUGCGAUGUAAGUCAGGUGUGAAAGCCCUCAGCUUAACUGAGGAAGUGCACUUGAUACUGUGUCGCUUGAGUGUCGGAGGGGGUGGCGGAAUUCCCGGUGUAGAGGUGAAAUUCGUAGAUAUCGGGAGGAACACCUGUGGCGAAGGCGGCCACCUGGACGACAACUGACGCUGAGACGCGAAAGCGUGGGUAGCAAACAGG